UUUCUCCUAUGUUUAUUGCAUAUAAGCACUUGGAAAUAAGGCCACAGAGAUUUUUUUAUCUGAUUUUUAUUCUGAUACUUGAUAACGUAGAAUCCUGUGGAAGUUGAAAAAGCUUCAGUGGAGAAAGAGGUGGUGAGUCACUGCAGUCCUGGAGUGGAAAGGGUACAAUCCAGUUGAUGUGAGCUGUAUGGGGCUAAAACAUGCUCAGUUCAGGGACUGCCUCUGGAGAAUGGAAUUACCAAACUCUUUCAUGUCUCUACUGAAACAUUCACGUGGAAGGAGGAGACCCAUGUUACAGUUCCCGGCUGAAAUCUGAUAUCUCCUCUUCUAGGAGAGUGCUAUGCUUUUCCCUGGUGAUUGAGCAGGAGACUUUGGCAAAAUACUGAGGUAGCUCCAUAGGAGGUGAUUGUUGGCAAUAGCUGCAGGCA